rnacentral:lncRNA from 1 species
AUGGCUUCUUGGAGAAGAGGGAAUAUUUUAAAAAAUCAGCCCCUCCCUAAAAGGUGCCCUGAACUGUCCAGAAGAGACAAACCGAAGCCCGGCACUGGAAGGGAGGAAAAGAGAGAUGACCCUCUCCCCGCAACAAGGUCAUCAGAGAGCUGGAAGCCAAGUGCCCUCCUCCACGUUCUCUCUACUGUGCCAUGUGGCUUGUGUUGAUACAGACCCUUGGGCUGGACCAAUCCUGGAAGAUCAAGAGCUGACUGGUGAGCCCAGGGCGAAAGUGGUGGGGAUAGGGUGAGAGGCGCAAUGCUCUGGGAUUUGUAGAAAAGUCAGGGUGGAGCCAGCACCCCUUUCUGUACCCUCCACUCACAUAGCACUAUGAUCCUAUAGGAGGCCCGGGGGAAGAAAGGGCUGCACAGAGUCAGCACAGAGAGGAGCAUUCUUGAGAAACAAGGACACGGAUGUUUAUUUGGGAGGUGAUCCCCUGAAGCACAGUGAUGAAGUAAGCAAGGUUAGACAUAGAAGACAAAGAAACAAUAAAGUGAAUGCUCUGAUGAAUGGGUUACUGUCAUGGGCAACUACGGUUGAUCCUUGGCAGCUUUCUGAAAACCAUGUGGCCCUUGCCUCAAAAUCAUGC